GCUUGUGUAGCACAGUUGGUAGUGCAACUCAUUCGUAAUGAGUAGGUCGUCGGUUCGAGUCCGAUCGCGAGCU
rnacentral:tRNA from 17 species